rnacentral:rRNA from 1 species
GACGAACGCUGGCGGCGUGCCUAAUACAUGCAAGUUGAGCGCUGAAGGUUGGUACUUGUACCAACUGGAUGAGCAGAGCACGGGUGAGUAACGCGUGGGGAAUCUGCCUUUGAGCGGGGGACAACAUUUGGAAACGAAUGCUAAUACCGCAUAAAAACUUUAAACACAAGUUUUAAGUUUGAAAGAUGCAAUUGCAUCACUCAAAGAUGAUCCCGCGUUGUAUUAGCUAGUUGGUGAGGUAAAGGCUCACCAAGGCGAUGAUACAUAGCCGACCUGAGAGGGUGAUCAGCCACAUUGAGACUGUGACACGCCCCAAACGCCUACGGGAGGCAGCAGUAGGGAAUCGUCGGCAAUGGACGAAAGUCUGACCGAGCAACGCCGCGUGAGUGAGGAGUGUUGUCGGAUCGUAGAACUCUGUUGGUAGAGAAGAACGUUGGUGAGAGUGGAAAGCUCAUCAAGUGACGGUAACUACCCAGAAAGGGACGGCUAACUACGUG